GUGAGGAAUAUUGGUCAAUGGGCGAGAGCCUGAACCAGCCAAGUAGCGUGCAGGAUGACGGCCCUAUGGGUUGUAAACUGCUUUUACACGGGGAUAAAGUGUGCGACGUGUCGUUCAUUGCAGGUACCGUGCGAAUAAGGACCGGCUAAUUCCGUGCCAGCAGCCGUGGUAAUACGGAAGGUCCGGGCGUUAUCCGGACUUAUUGGGUUUAAAGGGAGCGUAGGCUGUCAGGCAAGCAUGUUGUGAAAUGUCGUGGCUCAACCAUGGACUUGCAGCGCGAACUGCCCUACUUGAGUGCGCGGAAAGCAGGCGGAAUUUGUGGUGUAGCGGUGAAAUGCUUAGAUAUCACGAAGAACCCCGAUUGCGAAGGCAGCCUGCUGUAGCGCUACUGACGCUGAAGCUCGAAAGUGCGGGUAUCGAACAGAAUUAGAAACCCUAGUAGUCC
rnacentral:rRNA from 1 species